ensembl:lncRNA
AACAUUAGUUUGUGUUAGCUAACUAGUGACGGGAUCGAUAACUCACAGGAAAAUAAGGACACUGAAACUAAACGUCAGUGCUGCCCAACCUGGUCAGACCAAGGCAUCGUCACCCGUCAGCCUCCCACCUCAGUAAGACCCGGGAGAAGACGGAGGUAGAGAGGCACAGACUGAGUGGACACAAAGGCUGAAGUAAACAGGACUCAUCCUUUAACUUUCAGCUGUGCAGCUGUGUGUGAAUCAUCAGCUGAACCACAUCCUCAGACAGACGGACAGACGGGCCUGGUUAUGCAGCUCUUAUGAAACAGCAGAUGUAGAUGUAGACACUACAGGGUGACAUCAGCAG